CUUAGAACUCAAGGGACACACCCAAGUGAAUGAAGUUUUAACAUCUACUUGCAAUGGAUGUAAUGCCACAUACCACAUCAUGGAAGAAUGUCCCUUUUUGAUGAAUCCAAUUGGGAACAAAGUAGCAUAGGUUAAUGCUGCCUACUACAAACCUACAGAUGACCCUUAUGCACCAAUGUAUAACCCAGGAUGGAGGAAUCAUCCUAACUUUUCUUGAUCACAAGGGUCAAAUCCCAGU
rnacentral:lncRNA from 1 species